UACGGGGGGGGGUAAGCGUUGUUCGGAAUUACUGGGCGUAAAGCGUGCGCAGGCGGUUUUGUAAGCCAGAUGUGAAAGCCCCGGGCUUAACCUGGGAAUGGCAUUUGGGACUGCAAGGCUUGAGUGCGGCAGAGGAGACUGGAAUUCCUGGUGUAGCAGUGAAAUGCGUAGAUAUCAGGAGGAAUACCGAUGGCGAAGGCGGCUCUCUGGGACGGUACUGACGCUGAGACGCGAAAGCGUGGGGAGCGAACAGG
rnacentral:rRNA from 1 species